AAAGGGAAGAAAAGAAGAAGAACAAAACCCUAGCUAAGAAAUUCAAAGGGAAAUUGUUGAUUUUCAAGGAAUCAAGCCAUUAAAGGUAAAAUUUCUUAACUCUAGCUUGUGAUCUAUCUUUCCUAUGCAUUCUUUUGCAUUAUCCAUGGUUGAAUCACAAGAUGUCAUGAAGGAUUCAUGGCUGACCGAAUUUAGAGAGAGAAGAUUUGAUGAUUUAUUUGGUUAGAUUUUGAGAUAUUUUAGUGUUUUUAGUUGAUUUAUCAUGUUUGGAAGGAAAACAAGAAAAAUCACAUAUUCUCCAUGGAUUCUUCAUUGGCCGAAUUUCAUAAAGAAAAUAUUGAAGAUGAAUCUUGUGAUGUCUUAUGUUAUUUAGUUAGAAUAUAAUGAAUUGUGGUGGUGGAACCCGAAAAUGGUAAUGUUUAGCAUGAAAAACUGUAUACCCUUUAAGAACCUCCAUGGCCGAAUUUUUUCAAGAGAAAAUGUGAGGAUGAUUUUUGCCACAUUUCAAGUUAUUUAAAUUGUGUUUAAUGAUGUGGAGUAUUAGGAGAGAAAUGGAAUUGUUUGGAGUUGAUUUGGACGUAUUGGCCAAUUAAUCGAGUGAUAGAUCGAAUUAGGCCAAUACCAUUUUAUUUAAGUACACAAUUGAACUUAUAUUAAACGGCGUAUUUAGAUGGUUACUCGAGCAUUUCACAUCCCAUUUCAUGCAUUAGUAUAGAGCUUGAAUUAGUUUUAUAACAGUUUAGCACAAAUGUAGUAAAUGGCUUAUUGUGUAUUAUGUCUAGGUGGUGAGCUUUCUAGCAAAAGUAAAGAGAUAGUACUCGAGGAUCAAGAAUCAGAGUACUCGAAACUCGAUUUCCAUUACAGAGAGUAACCUUAUCAUCAUCUUGAUUAUCUGAAGUAAAUUUUAAUUCGAUUUUGUAAUUUUAUGAAAAAUGUGUUUAAAUGAAAUGAUUUUAUAAAUUGUUUUGAAAUUUAAUGAUGACUUGAAAAUGGAGUAAUUGGAGACUACUUGCUGUAUUGUAAAUUAUGUUUUGAAUUGAAUGGCUUAUGAUAAUGUGGGCAUGAAUGGCUGGAUGGGUAUUUGUGUUGAAAAUGUAUAAACU
rnacentral:lncRNA from 1 species